rnacentral:rRNA from 1 species
AACGAACGCUGGCGGCAUGCCUAACACAUGCAAGUCGAACGAGACCUUCGGGUCUAGUGGCGCACGGGUGCGUAACGCGUGGGAACCUGCCCUUAGGUUCGGAAUAACUCCCCGAAAGGGGUGCUAAUAACGGAUAAUGUCUUCGGACCAAAGAUUUAUCGCCUUUGGAUGGGCCCGCGUUGGAUUAGCUAGUUGGUAGGGUAAAAGCCUACCAAGGCGACGAUCCAUAGCUGGUCUGAGAGGAUGAUCAGCCACACUGGGACUGAGACACGGCCCAGACUCCUACGGGAGGCAGCAGUGGGGAAUAUUGGACAAUGGGCGAAAGCCUGAUCCAGCAAUGCCGCGUGAGUGAUGAAGGCCUUAGGGUUGUAAAGCUCUUUUACCCGGGAUGAUAAUGACAGUACCGGGAGAAUAAGCUCCGGCUAACUCCGUG